GAUGAAGAACGCAGCGAAAUGCGAUAAGUAAUGUGAAUUGCAGAAUUCAGUGAAUCAUCGAAUCUUUGAACGCACCUUGCGCCUUUUGGUAUUCCGAAAGGCACACCUGUUUGAGCGUCAUGAAUACCUCAAUCUCCAUCUUUUCUUCGGAUUGAUGGGUGACUUGGAUGUUGAGCCCUGCUGGUAUGCUAUAUCAGCUGGCUUUAAACUUAUUAGCCGGCUCUGUACUGGAUCGGUUUGACUCGACGUGAUAAUAUUAUCGUUGAGGAUGCAUGUCUCAUGCAGCCGGAAAGUAUCAAAGCAGCUUCUAGCUUGCCUUAGUGCACUUUUACAUUUUAGACCUCAGAUCAGGUGGGACUACCCGCUGAACUUAAGCAUAUCAAUAAGCGGAGGA
rnacentral:misc_RNA from 1 species